GGGCAAUUUACCAAAAUAAGUUUUUUUUUUUUAAUUUUAUCGAAAUGGGUCUGGUAUUUUAUUAUUUACCGAAAUGGGUCCUUUUCCCCUAAAUCGCGUCCACGUCAACGCGAUGUCAGGGAAUGUGUCAGCAAAGCGUGGCCACGUCAGAGCGCUUUGAUGACGUGGCAACAAAGCGCGGCCCUGAAAGCGCGAUUUGUUACCACGUCAGUAAAGCGCUCUGACGUGGUUGCGCUUUGAUGACGUGGCGCGUCCCUGGGGAUGCGAUUUAGACAGCGCGUGAAUAGUGCAACGGUCAAAAAUGUGACCGUUGCCCCUCCAACGGUAAAAAAAAACUAUAAAUACCCCCACCCUUUUUUUUUCACAAACAAAUCCUCUCUCAAAUUUCCUCUCAAUUUCCUUCCAAAUUUCUCUCAAAUUCAUAUUUAAUCUCAAUUAGCUCUCAAUUUCCUUUUAAAUUUCUCUUCAAUCCCUAUUUUUAAAUAAUUUUAAAAAAUUUUGAUUUUUUUAAACCGAAAAAAAUUACUCUUAAAUCCUUAAUUUUUAAACCGAAAAAAUUUGUACGAUUUCAACAAUGGAUGGAGGAUUGACUCGUCUUGAUAAGCACCACAUAUCCGUGGAACAAAUGAAAAUGUCUGUAGAUCGGGUAUUGAAAUACAAUAUCCAGAAUAUUCAUGCUCCUCCAUCACCGUUGGUAGAGAACUACCUGCGGGAAGCGGGUUUUUGGCACGUGGCGACGGUAGGCCGGGGAUGCAAGGUGGACCUGGAACUAAUCAGUGCGUUGAUCGAGAGGUGAAGACCCGAGACGCACACAUUCCAUCCUCCAUGUGGAGAGUGCACUGUCACUUUGGAAGACGUCAGUCUGUAAUUGGGAUUGCCGGUGGACGGGUACCCAGUCACGGGGUCUGCCCAAUCUAGCGAUUGGCCAGCGGUGUGCUACGAGCUUUUGGGCACUAUUCCGGAGAAAAUGUACGGAGGUAAGAUCGAGAUGGGCUGGUUGCGAGACAUAUUCCCGGAUCCAGAUGAAGAUUCAACCGAAAUAGAAAGAAUCCAAUAUGCUCUGGCAUACAUUCUUCAGUUAAUUGGAGGUUAUCUGAUGACGGACUUGUCACGGAGCCGCGUACAUCUAAGAUGGCUGCUGAAACUCGUUGAUUUUAGAGUAGCCGGUGAAUUGAGUUGGGGGUCUGCUGUCUUGGCCACAUUAUAUCGGGAGAUGUGCGGGGCGACGCGACCGAGGAGAGCAAAAAUUAGAGGUUGUCUGUCACUACUGCAGUCAUGGGCAUGGUUUUGCUUUCUAUUUCUAAGUCCUCGAGUGAACCACCCAUAUACAUUCCCACUCAUAACAAGGCAAAUUUUAUAUUAGAUUUUACAAUUAUUAUGUAGAUAUUUAAAAAUAAAAAUAUGCUAAAAGUUUAAUUAAUUAUGUGAAACCAUCCGGCAAGUCAUGCUCGAUUACCUACCGAACUUGAAGAUAUACGGCUUCUAUUAGACCAACAGUCGGAAGCACAUUUUCAAUGGACACCAUACGAGGAUCCGGUAAUUCAGACAGUAAUUCCGGAUGAGUUCUUACAAAAUCGAAAUGCUUGGUACGUGAAAGUCGCGUUGACCAACUACGUAACCAUGGAGCCGCACCAGUCAGACAGAGUGCUACGACAGUUUGGAUGUAGACAACCAAUUCCCGUAGAACCUGAGGUGUUUGACGAUCAACACAAAGUCGACCUUCGGCAAUUGAAUACAAAUUGGCCGAGAUACUGGUCCGAGUACAUAGAAAUGUGGGAAGAUCGGUACGAAUAUAUACCUACUCGGGAACCAAUCAUCGUUCCGGAGUUAGCGUGCGUGCCAGAAUACAUGCCAUGCUUUAGGAUCCAUGGCAAGCCAUAUUUACUAACGCCAGAGGAGAGGCAGCGGCAAAUACGUGUCCAAAGGGAAAUGCGCGGGCCUCUAAAUCCAAGACGAUGAGACGACGACGCUGGCCCCUCAACGAGGCCCAGACAUUCACCUGGCCCAUCAUCAACGGCCAUGCAAUCACCAGGCCCAACGACUGCACCGACAGAGUCACCCGACCCAGCAGUUCAACCGAUGAUACCCACGCAACCGCCUUUUCAAAUGAUGCCAGGUGCGUUUCCUAGCCCUUUUAUGUAUCCUAACCCUUAUAUAUAUCCUUUUCUGAGUCCUAUGGAAGGUUGAAGCCAAUGGCCCGGUUCAGCUCUAUUUCCUGUUACACCGAGUGGACCGCCGAUGUAUAGGCUAGCGGUGCACGAGGGAUCGCAAGAGAGGCGGUCAGGGAGCUUUUCUUUUUACCAAUCCCUACCACCGUAUGAGUUUCAAACACCGUCGCCGUUGGUAAUGCAAACACCCCCACAUUCACUAUUCUUUCAAGGUGGAUCAUAGUCCCAACUCUGACAACAGAUGCCCUACCGGAAGAAUUAGAAUCCCCGCUGGAGGAACCACAACUGCCACCGGAAGCUGGACAAAGGAGG